CUCUGUAUUUCUUGCAAACUGGUGCUUAGAUCUGGAGGCUCAUCUGAUUCAGGGCUGAUUCAUCUUUUUGGCAAGUCUGCUUCAGGGGUGUGAUUGUGCCUUUCCUGUUGAAUCGCAUCAAGAGGCACAUAAGUCUGGUUGUCUCUCGUUGUGUGAUGUUGAGGUUGAUCUGUCAGUUUAGCUGACAUCCUGCGUUUAAAGAAAGUAUUAGAUACAGAAAACAAAACCUGUUUCUGUCUAGAAAAUGAAGUGCCAAAGGAGAAACCCACAACCUCAGUUUGGGAGGAGAGAGCAGGCGAUGUGGGGCGCUGACUUUCACAUUGAACAUGACAGGUAGCCCAGAUGGUUUCUCAAUGGAAAAUGACUUUUCCCGAAGACAUUCUACCAUAUCUGCAAUGUUUCUAGUGCUUACACAUUUGGGUGAAUGAAUAUCAACUUCAUGGUCAUCUUGGGAACAAGAAGUGUGGAGCCAACUCUUAACUCUGAUGUGAAAUCUCAUUGGCCAGUUGACUGCUUCCAAUAUGGGACAAGUGGGACACCAAUAUUCUGGGAAGGAGUAAACAGUAGCUCCAGAGAGGAGUAG
rnacentral:lncRNA from 1 species